rnacentral:rRNA from 1 species
GAUGAACGCUGGCGGCGUGCCUAAUACAUGCAAGUCGAGCGAACGGACGAGAAGCUUGCUUCUCUGAUGUUAGCGGCGGACGGGUGAGUAACACGUGGAUAACCUACCUAUAAGACUGGGAUAACUUCGGGAAACCGGAGCUAAUACCGGAUAAUAUUUUGAACCGCAUGGUUCAAAAGUGAAAGACGGUCUUGCUGUCACUUAUGGAUGGAUCCGCGCUGCAUUAGCUAGUUGGUAAGGUAACGGCUUACCAAGGCAACGAUGCAUAGCCUACCUGAGAGGGUGAUCGCCCACACUGGAACUGAGACACGGUCCAGACUCCUACGGGAGGCAGCAGUAGGGAAUCUUCCGCAAUGGGCGAAAGCCUGACGGAGCAACGCCGCGUGAGUGAUGAAGGUCUUCGGAUCGUAAAACUCUGUUAUGAGGGAAGAACAUAUGUGUAAGUAACUGUGCACAUCUUGACGGUACCUAAUCAGAAAGCCACGGCUAACUACGUG